UAAAACUCAAAGGAAUUGACGGGGACCCGCACAAGCGGUGGAUGAUGUGGAUUAAUUCGAUGCAACGCGAAAAACCUUACCUACCCUUGACAUGGAAGGAAUCCCUGAGAGAUUGGGGAGUGCCCGAAAGGGAACCUUUACACAGGUGCUGCAUGGCUGUCGUCAGCUCGUGUCGUGAGAUGUUGGGUUAAGUCCCGCAACGAGCGCAACCCUUGUCAUUAGUUGCUACGCAAGAGCACUCUAAUGAGACUGCCGGUGACAAACCGGAGGAAGGUGGGGAUGACGUCAAGUCCUCAUGGCCCUUAUGGGUAGGGCUUCACACGUCAUACAAUGGUACAUACAGAGGGCCGCCAACCCGCGAGGGGGAGCUAAUCCCAGAAAGUGUAUCGUAGUCCGGAUCGUAGUCUGCAACUCGACUACGUGAAGUUGGAAUCGCUAGUAAUCGCGGAUCAGCAUGUCGCGGUGAAUACGUUCCCGGGUCUUGUACACACCGCCCGUCACACCAUGGGAGCGGGUUUUACCAGAAGUAGGUAGCUUAACCGCAAGGAGGGCGCUUACCACGGUAGGAUUCGUGACUGGGGUGAAGUCGUAACAAGGUAG
rnacentral:rRNA from 1 species